UAACAGGGCUUCGAGAGAAGGCUUCGAGGGAGGGGACGACGGAGAGUGAGAUCUCUCUGAAACCCUAGAAUUUCAAUGUCACCGCCACCGCUACCGCUACCGCCACCGCCAUUCAUGUCUUUGCCGUUGUUGCCGUUAUUGUCUCCUUCAUUGAGGUAAUACUUAGAUCUUCUGCUUCUGCAUCAUCUUCUACGGCAGGUUCUUCCACUGGUUCUGCUUUUGCUCCAGUUGCUUGAAGCACUCAGAGCGAGGUUUCGGUGCGGACGCGGUGGCACUAGCUGAGGAGAUCUGGAAGGCGAGCGAGCAUGAGUUUUUGGAAGCUUCGAUUGAAGCUGCGUUCAAAGCUAUCAGAUCUCGUGGAAUUGAUUCUCAUGUCAUUCCAAGUCAUUGCGAUUACAAAGCCAGCAAUGUACCUUUUUAUGGAAAUUCAGAAAAUCGAUAAUAGUUACUAUCCUGAGACUCUCCAUAAGCCCUUUAUUAUCAAUGAUGGAUCUGGCUUCAAAAUGCUAUGGAAAGCCGUUAAGACAUUCCUAGAUGUUUGCACAGUAGCAAAAGUUCAAGUAUGGAUCAUUGUUAUAUUCCAUUAUAUUAUUCCAUUUUCAGAUAUCUUGAACUAACAAGAUUCUUAUUCCAUUGGUACCAGUUUUACUUUUGGCAUGCCAACUAUGUUAUAGUUACUGUGAUUGAUGGUGGCAAUGGAUUGGCACUAGUGACAAUGGUGGUUUAGUUGUUAGUGAUUAUACAAAUCUUAUUAAUAUUUAAGUUGAUAAUACGUUAAAGGUUGAUUUCCCUUUUGGUUUGUAAUAUUAUCUUGCAUUUGGUUGAACUUAUUUUGGUUUGAUUUAUAGUAAGAAUUUGUCCCCUAUUUUCCUAAAGACAGCAUAUUUGUAUUAUACAAAUUUUAACUGUUAUCAUAUUUCAUCUACUUAUGUGAAAGAUUAAUCCUUGACUGGGAAAAACAAAUCAUCCCCUUUAUUUUUGUUGUUUCUACAGGAAAAAAGAAGGUCCUGCAACAAAACCUUACAUAAAAUGGGCAGCAUCAAUGGCUACUUCUCUUGAUACUGGUGUCCCCUGUAUUAUGUACAUGCAAGCAGAUGCUCCAAAUCCUAUUGUAGAUUAACACAUGCAAUAGAGUUUACUGCGAUCAGUUCAUACCAAACUCUAAUGCUAAGCCGAAGAUUUAGAUCGAGGGCUAUAACGGAUGGUUAGUUACUCGAGUUUCUUUAUUAUGGUGGAACUGUACCUUAGAGACCUGUGAAAGAUCUUGCAUUUACUGUGGUAAGAUUUUAUCAACUUGGUGGAACUUUUAUGAACUACUAUAUGUAUCAUGAAGGAACCAAUUUUAGUAGAACCACAGGUGGACUUUUUGUUGCUACUAGUUAUGACUAUGAUGUACCACUUGAUGAAUAUGGAAUCAUUAGACAGCCUAAGUGGGGACACCUUAAAGAUUUGCAUAAAUUUAUAAAGCUUUGUGAAGAAGCAUUGAUUGCUACUGAUCCAGCAGUUACAUCUCUUCAUCCAAAUAUAGAGGCAUAUAUAUAUCAGUAACCUCACAAUAGAGACUUUCUUCUUCCUUUCAAACAAGGCAAGCUUUAGAUGCUUAGGAUCAAUGCAAAAAAUCCCCAUUAUUAAUAGAUUUCAAGCAUGGCAGAUGCUGAAGUAACCGAAUGGGAUCUAAUAUCCUCCGGUCUUCCACUUAUUGUUUUAUUUUACUUUUUAAAGAAAAACAAUAAUAGUUAUGUAGAACAAUACCAUAUGCAAUUAUGUUUGGAAUUAUUGACAUUGAGAAUUUUUUUAUAUAUAGAGUUAUGUUUUAUAUUGAG